UUAAACUGAAGAGUUUGAUCAUGGCUCAGAUUGAACGCUGGCGGCAGGCUUAACACAUGCAAGUCGAGCGGUAACAGGGGGAGCUUGCUCCCUGCUGACGAGCGGCGGACGGGUGAGUAAUGCAUAGGAAUCUGCCCAGUAGUGGGGGAU
rnacentral:rRNA from 1 species